UUCUUUCUAGAGUACAGAUAAAAGCAAAGUUAUCUCUCUUGAGCCUAUAUUGAGGUAUGCCCAGUUUAUUUGUUAAUCAUCUUUGUGUUUGAUACCAUACCUUAGAUUUUAACUUGUCUUUUAACUUUUUAUACUUAUUUUCUUUUAAAAAACCCUGAAUGUUCAAAAACUAAGGUAUAGUAUUUCGCUCUUAUUCAGUUUUUGUAUUCAAUGCCAUGCAGAUUGACCAUAAAGCUAUGCUAAAUUCCAAUCCUUAUUCUUUAUUUUUUGUUUCAGUUUGUUCUAUUUGCUUUUAAAUGUUUUUGUUAGGGAAGUUAGUUAUAAAUAAAGGACAGGAGAACGUGAAAGGGGAGGAAUAUUUGGUAUGUGAACUAGGGGUUUGAGAGUUAUCUCAAGAUAGGCUUGAGUGUGAUCACAAGAAGGGAAGAGGUUAAAGUGUAUUUUUUGUUUGGUUCUCACACCUUGAGGCAAGGUGUGUUUUAGUGGCCGGUAUUGAUAGUAUUGGUAUUAGAAGAAUAUUAGGAGUACUGUUAGGUAUUUAAGCACCUUGAAGAACCACACCUCAAAAGUUAGCGGUUUGGGUGAGAGAGGCAGAGAGCCCAGUCAUCUAAGUACUACAUUGGUCAUCCCAUUCUAACCAAUGUAGGACAAAGGUAUCCAUUCUUAUGCUUUCUUCUUGUAUGGUACGAAUUUUGUCACUUUCCAUUUCAGGUUGAUUGCGGCUUUGCAAGAGAUCUGUUGGACUUUUUGCUGGAACAACGGAUAGCGAGACGAUAAGCGUGAUGCCAAGUCAUUGAUUUCCAGCACAAUUGAGGAGCAAAUGUAUCUGCCUUGAGCAUCUUUGUUCUCAAAAGCAAGGAUGUGUGAGAGGGCAACAUCAUCAAUGUGAAUAUAUCCUACCCUUCCAAGUGAUUGGAAAGGCUCAGUCUCCCCUGCAUUGUUUCAUAAAACGACACAGUUUAUAUGCUUUCUGAAAACUAAGACUGAAAUAGAAAGCCAUUAAAGUUUCACACACCUUUAAGAAGGCCAAGGACAAUGGAUGCUGUAUAACAUAAAUCCCGCGACAAAUUAGGCCCGAUGAUCACUGAAGGGAGCACAGUUACUAAAUCGAUUCCAUUUUCGUUGCAGAAUUCCCACGCUGCCUUUUCUGCUAGAGUUUUUGCAAGAGCAUACCACAGCUUUUGUUUGAGGUCCCACACAAGGUUUUUACGUAAGAAAUGAGAAACACAUUAAGAAAUCAGUCCAUCAACUUACGCCAUCUUUCAAUCCAUAUAGGCUAUAAAAUUCAAAAUGAUGGUUAAUAGCAGUAGGGAUAUGUUGGAUUAAGUAGCGGGAUUUUCUUUCUAAUAUUCGUAAGUAUCUGGUCUGGACCAACUUGUUCACACUUUGACUACUCUCACAACACAGCCCUACAACCUUACUUAUUUUGAUAGCUAAGAAAAUCGUGACUUAAAUACAUUUGUUUUGUUUUUGGUUUUUAAUAGAACUUUAUAUUUGUAUCA